AUUGAACGCUGGCGGCAUGCCUUACACAUGCAAGUCGAACGGUAACGCGGGGCAACCUGGCGACGAGUGGCGAACGGGGGAGUAAUGCAUCGGAACGUGCCUGGUAGUGGGGGAUAACUUCUCGAAAGAGCAGCUAAUACCGCAUACGACCUGAGGGUGAAAGGGGGGGAUCGCAAGACCUCUCGCUAUCAGGGCGGCCGAUGUCGGAUUAGCUAGUUGGUGGGGUAAAGGCCCACCAAGGCAACGAUCCGUAGCUGGUCGGAGAGGACGACCAGCCACACUAGGACUGAGACACGGCCCAGACGCCUACGGGAGGCAGCAGUGAGGAAUCUUGCGCAAUGGGGGAAACCCUGACGCAGCGACGCCGCGUGGAGGAUGAAGGCCUUCGGGUCGUAAACUCCUGUCAGAGGUGAAGAAUACCCGCAAGGGUUUGACGGUAACCUCAAAGGAAGCCCCGGCUAACUACGUGCCAGCAGCCGCGGUAACAC
rnacentral:rRNA from 1 species